rnacentral:rRNA from 1 species
CCUACGGGUGGCAGCAGUGAGGAAUAUUGGUCAAUGGGCGCGAGCCUGAACCAGCCAAGUAGCGUGAAGGAUGACUGCCCUACGGGUUGUAAACUUCUUUUAUAAAGGAAUAAAGUGAGGCACGUGUGCCUUUUUGUAUGUACUUUAUGAAUAAGGAUCGGCUAACUCCGUGCCAGCAGCCGCGGUAAUACGGAGGAUCCGAGCGUUAUCCGGAUUUAUUGGGUUUAAAGGGAGCGUAGAUGGGUUGUUAAGUCAGUUGUGAAAGUUUGCGGCUCAACCGUAAAAUUGCCAUUGAUACUGGCGGUCUUGAGUACAGUUGAGGUAGGCGGAAUGCGUGGUGUAGCGGUGAAAUGCUUAGAUAUCACGCAGAACUCCGAUUGCGAAGGCAGCUUACUAACCUCCCACUGACAUUGAUGCACGAAAGUGUGGGUAUCAAACAGGAUUAGAUACCCCUGUAGUC